AAUCAGUGAUGAAAUAGCUAAUCUGAGCAUUAUAUUUUCUAGUCUACCUGGUGCGUAAUUCUGAGA
rnacentral:snoRNA from 1 species